GAGAGGGCGGGGCCGCCGGCGGGGGCCCCCUUGAAACCGACUAAUUGGGAUCGGAGAGGCCGAGGUCGCUUUUUAAAGAGAACUCUGCCCAACACCCCCACCAGGGGGAGCAUCAUCAGCUCGCAGAUGCUGGGAUUUGGAGAUCACCUUG